AUGGGAAUGGGAGAAUCAGAGACCAUUUGCCCUUUCCCUGCUUCCCUAAGGGAACUUGAUGUUUACCAAGAGCCAAGCAUAAAGUCAAUGGGUCUGCUCUCAAACCUCACAUCUCUCACCACUCUAAGGCUAAAGGAGUGCAGUAAUCUAACAGUGGACGGAUUCAAUCCUCUCAUCGCAGUCAACCUCAUAGAGCUGCAAGUGCAUAGGUGCAACACCUCUAGAUUAGCAGCAGAUAUGCUCUCAGAGGUGGCCUCUCAGAGGGCCAAAUUAUUGCCUGCAGGUUACAUCUCUAGAUUGGAGAAACUCAUUAUGAAUGACAUGUGUGGAUUGCUUGUUGCUCCUAUUUGCAACCUCCUCGCCCCGGCCCUCCACACACUUGAAUUCUGCUAUGAUGAGAGCACGGAAAGCUUCACGGAAGAGCAAGAGAAAGCGCUACAGCUCCUCACCUCCCUCCAGAAUCUAAGUUUUUCAGGCUGCUGCGAUCUGCAAUCCCUUCCUCAAGGGUUACAUCGCCUUUCUUGUCUCAAGGAGUUACGUGUCUUUGGGUGUCGAGAAAUCCUGUCGAUGCCCAAGGAGGGUCUCCCGGUUUCUCUGAGAAAACUAGAGAUGAAUUGUGGCAGCGCUGAGAUAGAUGAGCUAAUUAAAAAAAUCAACAGAACCAGCCAGAUUUAUCCGUCUCUUGAAGGAUAA
rnacentral:rRNA from 1 species